rnacentral:rRNA from 1 species
GCAAUCAUGAUUAUGGCUCAGAAUGAACGUUGGCGGCAUGGAUUAGGCAUGCAAGUCGAGCGAGAAGUUUUAGUUUGACGCUUCGGUUGAUGACUAAGAUGGACAGCGGCGCAUGGGAUAACGCGUAGUUAUCUGCCCCGAGGUCCGGAAUAGCUGUGGGAAACUGCAGGUAAUGCCGGAUAAUAUCCCCGGAUCAAAGGUGUGAUUCCGCCUUGGGAGGAGACUGCGUUGUACUAGCUUGUUGGUGGGGUACUGGCAUGGCCCACCAAGGCUACGAUGCAUAGCGGGCGUGAGAGCGUGGCCCGUCUCACUGGGACUGAAACACUGCCCAGACACCUACGGGUGGCUGCACAACGAGAAUCUUCGGCAAUGGGCGAAAGCCUGACCGAGCUGGCGCCGCGUGCGGGAUGAAGGCCUUCGGGUUGUAAACCGCUGUCAGUAGGGAGGAAAUCACUAAUGGUCAGGGGCUAUCCCCUAGUGUUGACCUAUCUUCAGAGGAAGUACGGGCUAAGUUCGUGCCAGCAGCCGCGGUAAUACGAACCGUACAAACGUUAUUAAUGGUUGGGCUUAAAGGGUGCGUAGGCGGCGCAGUCAGUGAGGUGUGAAAGCCCUGCUCAACCGAGGAAUUGCGCUUCAUACUGCUGUGCUCGAGGAGACAGGGGUAAGCGGAACUGAUGGUGGAGCGGUGAAAUGCGUUGAUAUUAUCAGGAACACCAGUGGCGAAAGCGGCUUACUGGGUCUCUUCUGACGCUGAGGCACGAAAGCUAGGGUAGCGGGGAUUAGAUACCCCGGUAGUCUGGGCUAGCUGUAAACGAUGAGCACUUGGCCAAGGGGAUCCCCCCAUAGGUUCCCGG